CCCUUAGAUGUCCUGGGCCGCACGCGCGUUACACUGAUGCAUUCAACGAGCUUAUAACCUUGGCCGAGAGGCCUGGGCAAUCUUGUUAACGUGCAUCGUGAUAGGGAUAGAUUAUUGAAAUUAUUAAUCUUGAACGAGGAAUUCCUAGUAAACGCAGAUCAUCAAUCUGCAUUGAUUACGUCCCUGCCCUUUGUACACACCGCCCGUCGCUACUACCGAUUGAACGGUUUAGUGAGGGCCUCGGAUUGGUCUCGGCCCGCUCUUUACCGGGCGGCGCCGUUGGUCGAGAAGACGCUCGAACUUGAUCGUUUAGAGGAAGUAAAAGUCGUAACA
rnacentral:rRNA from 1 species